UGGGGAAUAUUGGACAAUGGGCGAAAGCCUGAUCCAGCCAUGCCGCGUGUGUGAAGAAGGUCUUCGGAUUGUAAAGCACUUUAAGUUGGGAGGAAGGGCAGUAAGCGAAUACCUUGCUGUUUUGACGUUACCGACAGAAUAAGCACCGGCUAACUCUGUGCCAGCAGCCGCGGUAAUACAGAGGGUGCAAGCGUUAAUCGGAAUUACUGGGCGUAAAGCGCGCGUAGGCGGCUAAUUGAGUCGGAUGUGAAAUCCCCGAGCUUAACUUGGGAAUUGCAUUCGAUACUGGUUAGCUAGAGUGUGGGAGAGGAUGGUAGAAUUCCAGGUGUAGCGGUGAAAUGCGUAGAGAUCUGGAGGAAUACCGAUGGCGAAGGCGACCACCUGGGCUCAUACUGACACUGAGGUGCGAAAGCGUGGGGAGCAAACAGG
rnacentral:rRNA from 1 species